AGAGUUUGAUCAUGGCUCAGAACGAACGCUGGCGGCAUGCCUAACACAUGCAAGUCGAACGAGGUUUCCACUUCGGUGGUUUCCUAGUGGCGCACGGGUGAGUAACGCGUGGGAACCUGCCCUGUGGUACGGAAUAACUCCGGGAAACUGGAGCUAAUACCGUAUGUGUCCUUUGGGACAAAGAUCCAUCGCCAUGGGAUGGGCCCGCGUAGGAUUAGCUUGUUGGUGGGGUAACGGCCCACCAAGGCUACGAUCCUUAGCUGGUCUGAGAGGAUGAUCAGCCACACUGGGACUGAGACACGGCCCAGACUCCUACGGGAGGCAGCAGUGGGGAAUAUUGGACAAUGGGCGCAAGCCUGAUCCAGCAAUGCCGCGUGAGUGAUGAAGGCCUUCGGGUUGUAAAGCUCUUUCGCACGCGACGAUGAUGACGGUAGCGUGAGAAGAAGCCCCGGCUAACUUCGUGCCAGCAGCCGCGGUAAUACGAAGGGGGCUAGCGUUAUUCGGAAUUACUGGGCGUAAAGGGCGCGUAGGCGGUGUGUCAAGUCAGGCGUGAAAGCCCCGGGCUCAACCUGGGAACCGCGCUUGAGACUGGCACGCUCGAGUUCGGGAGAGGAUGGUGGAAUUCCCAGUGUAGAGGUGAAAUUCGUAGAUAUUGGGAAGAACACCGAUGGCGAAGGCAGCCAUCUGGACCGACACUGACGCUGAGGCGCGAAAGCGUGGGGAGCAAACAGGAUUAGAUACCCUAGUAGUCC
rnacentral:rRNA from 1 species